GCUGGGUGCAGUGGCGUAUGCCUGUAAUCCCAGUGGCUUGGGAGACUGAGACAGGAGAAUCACGAGCUCAAAGCCAGCCACAGCAACUGUGAGGCACUAAGCAACUCAGUGAGACCCUGUCUCUA
rnacentral:sRNA from 1 species